rnacentral:rRNA from 1 species
CCUACGGGAGGCAGCAGUGGGGAAUCUUCCACAAUGGGCGCAAGUCUGAUGGAGCGACGCCGCGUGGGGGAAGAAGGCCUUCGGGUUGUAAACUCCUUUUCUGGAGGACGAACAAGGUAGGCAGGCAAUGGUCUACCCUUGACGGUACUCCAGGAACAAGCACCGGCUAACUUCGUGCCAGCAGCCGCGGUAAAACGAAGGGUGCAAGCGUUAUCCGGAAUUACUGGGCGUAAAGGGCGUCUAGGCGGCCCGUUAAGUCGGCGGUGAAAGUCCUCGGCUCAACUGAGGAAAGUCCGUCGAAACUGACAGGCUAGAGGAACACAGAGGGAGGCGGAACUCUCGGAGUAGCGGUGGAAUGCGCAGAUACCGAGAGGUAUCCCGAUGGCGAAGGCAGCCUCCUGGGUGUUUCCUGACGCUGAAGCGCUAAGGCCAGGGGAGCCAAGGGGAUUAGAUACCCCCGUAGUCCUGGCUGCAAACGAUGUGAGCUAGGUAUCGGGCCC